GGCCGCGUGGCAAAGUGGUUAAUGCGUCUGCUUUACAUGUCGCUCAUGUACGCAGAAGAUCGUGAGUUCAAGCCUCACCGUGGUCA